rnacentral:ncRNA from 1 species
CUCUAAUACAUAGUUUCGAGAUUGCACUUUUAACAAAGGUGCACAGUGAAGUAUUAGUAUUAAAGAAACCUAUUCCUUCCUAAUUUAGGUAAAUAUGGAUCAUUAGAUAUGUUGCUGGUAGUUAAAGAUAAUGAAUGUUAAUGUAUCUAA